rnacentral:rRNA from 1 species
UACGAACCGAGCGAACGUUGUUCGGAAUCACUGGGCUUAAAGGGCGCGUAGGCGGCUUACCAAGUCAGGGGUGAAAUCCUGGAGCUCAACUCCAGAACUGCCUUUGAUACUGGCGAUCUCGAGUCCGGGAGAGGUGAGUGGAACUGCGAGUGUAGAGGUGAAAUUCGUAGAUAUUCGCAAGAACACCAGUGGCGAAGGCGGCUCACUGGCCCGGUACUGACGCUGAGGUGCGAAAGCGUGGGGAGCAAACAGG